AAGGAGGGGGAGAAGCAGACUCCCCGCUGUGCAGUGAGCCCCUCAUGGGCCUCGAUCCCAGAACCCUGAGAUCGUGGCCUGAGCCGAGGGCAGAUGCUCACCCACUGAGCCCCCAGGCCCCCCCCCACUGCAGAUUUCCACGAGGUGCCGUGGGUGCGGAGACCCCGUUGGAGCAGCUCACACGCGGUGCCACGGUGUUCUUGAAUGCUGGUUAAGAAAAGCUCAAGGUUGAGCUGUCAUGUCCUCUGAAUCCGGUGGACUUCUGAAUGAACAACGAACACCAGUUUCAUCUCUGGGGACAGGCAGGAAUUUUAUCUGAUGGGCAUCAUGAAGACAAACUGUAAGACCUCCUCUCUGCAUCUCAGUUACCAGGCCUGAAAGGUGGAAGGAAGCCUUCCCUGGGCAUUCAACCGGACAUUUGCUGUGGUUUGCAAAAUUAAUCUAGUAAUAUUAUAGUUCUCUAUAUAUUAAAUAACCAAGUACUGGGCUGGAUCUGCUUGUGGAGAGAAGCUAGCACAAAAGUAACUGCUCACCUGAGUCAGUUGAUGAAACACCAGUCCCCACCACAGACUCAAGGGUGACUGAAUGACAAUGGCUUCCCGUUCUCUAGAGUUAAUCUGGGCGGGUGCCUUAGUUUCCCGCCCCACCUCGUGUGCACACAUCCUGAGUUUAAAAAAGAUCUCCCUAGGCAGAGACUAACUUUGCUCAAAAUACAUAAAUGCACUCACUGAAAGAAGUUAGAAAAAUCAGACUUAUUUCGACAGACCCUGAAGAGUGUGAGGCAGAUGGACAAGUUAGCAAUAUGCCUAUACUUACGUGUAUCAUUUACAUAAUGGCUAUUGGCUGGGUCACUGAUUAUGAAGUGCUGACCCAAGGAGUUCACUUAUCAGAAUUACUAGGAGGGAGUGUUUACAAAUACAGAUGAUCAACCCUCACUCUUGCCACCCCUUCUCCGCAAGAUCCUGAUUCAGGGAAAUGGGUAUUUAUAUGGGGAGGAGCUAAGGGGUGGGCCCACUUCCUUUUUUUUUUUUUUAAAGCACCCCUGGUGAUUCUGAUGCCUGAACUGGUUUGAGAGCCACUAGCUAGAUUAUCAGAUGCUCUCAAAUACACAGAUGCAAUUUCUGAAAUGUUCAUUCCAUGUAAUUAUUCAGUUUCUGGGCCUAUUUUCUCUCUUGAGUGAACCAAAGAAGAUACAGUUUUUGAUGAAAAAUCAUUCCAUUAACAGCAUUUGAACUUGUUUCUGUACCUUCAGAAGCUGAACAGGGUAAUUCUGGAAGGAAUAUUCUAUAUAACAUCUUGUUUUCUGACUUUUCAGAUCACAACUAUUCAUGUAACCUACACUUUGACUUUGCAUUUCCAAACCUGGAAACCUGAGAUACUGACAUGAAAAUCUGAAAUUAAUCAGCAUGUUUUGCUAUUAGCUUUACUACUAUAAUCAGAAAGCAGCCAGAUGUUCAGCUGACUUCAAUCGAAUAGCUAUUUUUGAUUAUAUCGUAUUCUAAUAUUCUAAAAAGACUCACAAAGCUUGACCUUAUAAUUCAGUCUUUCUCUUACUCAUCAAUGAAUUAAGGGUUUAGUUAUUUAUGAUUUUUAAAAACCUUUGUGAAGCUUGUCAUUAACCUCCUCUGCUGUACCAGCAUGUCAUGGCACAUGUCGCUCAACAUCCACCAGCCAAUAAACCUUUAAGGGUGAUUAUGUGUGUGCUUUUUUUUUUAAUUGUAUAAUUCAUUUAUACAGAGAAAUCAUUUGGAUUAUCUAUUUACAAUCUUUUUCAAUUUUCAUUUCCACUGGCCAGAAACAGUUCACGUAAUAGUCAACAUUUACUUGAGCUGAUUACCAAUAUAGAUCUGCCAUGACACAGGGCUUUGGCCUUCCCUCCUUAGAGACAAUGGCCUCAUUGAACAGAAACAUUUUACAGUGAAAGAUUCAUCAGUUAUUUUUCCCUCUUAUGAAUAAAUCCAGCAAAACUGAUCUAAAUGGUCAAAUUUUCAACACAUUUGUUUCCUUUCAAACCCAUAAACCAAGACAAAGAAAAAUUCACUUCCCCCAAGCCUUCUACGACUUACGACAUACCCUCAAGUUUAGCUUUUACGAUAUCGUUUCAACGUCCUGGCACAACCAGACGUUUUUACCUUAAGACAAAACUACUCUCUUAGGCUCUCUUUUUUAUUUGUUUGUUUUGAACUUAUUACCAGUCAACUGCUUUCCCUCUUGCUUCUCAGACAACACUAAAACUUUCAAGAAAAACCUUACGGCAUUUUUCUUCCCAUAGUCCAGGAUACACGGGGUCAUUUCAUGUGUGUUCUCCAUUCUGACAUGCUAUGCUUUAAAGAUUGCAAUUUUCUUAAUUGGCUCAAAAACAAUAUGGCUUGGUUUCACUUGGUCAAGUUAAUCUGAUUUUUUAAAAAAAGAUAUAUAUAUGUAUAUAUAUGUAUAUAUAUAUAUAUAUACACACACACACACACAUACAUACACAUUUUAAUCAAAAAAGAAAAAUACUUUAGAGACACACCAAUUUGAAAAGGAAAAUGCAUCAAAGUAAAAAAAAAUAAAAGCAAAUACUAAAAACUACAAAUUAAAAAAAAAUUAAAUACUUGGCAGGUUAAAUGGAUGAAAAAUGAGGAAUGUGCAAUGAAAAACAAAUACAAAGCAUUCCAGUUGACAAAAUGGAAAACUUAGUAAGUUUUACGGUUUGUUCUCCAAAGACUUUAAGUUUCACUGUAAGUUCUGAAAUAUCACAAACAUAUAUUGUGUGAAGAUUUCAGGUUGCUGAUGCUACAAACUCAAACUCUGUAUGCAGAGUUUACCAGAGAAACACUGGUGAAAUCCCAGUAUUUGUAAAACUUUAAGUUUUGGCAAAUAUUGUAAAUAUCACAAUUAGAAAGUCUUGAUGAAUGCAGAAGAGAAAAUCCAUUUCAUAAAUAUUUCAUUUGAUUAAUAAAAGGCUUGCAUGUUCUAAAUAAUCUGAGAAAAAUAUCUUUAAAAAAAAAGGCUACAGUUUAACAGUAAUCUGCAUGUAUCUUUAGCUGCCUUAAAAAAAAAAAAAAAAAA